rnacentral:rRNA from 1 species
GACGAACCGUGCGAACGUUGUUCGGAAUCACUGGGCUUAAAGGGUGCGUAGGCGGGCUAUCAAGUCUGGGGUGAAAUCCCACGGCUCAACCGUGGAACUGCCUUAGAUACUGACGGCCUCGAGGGAGAUAGGGGCAUGCGGAACUAACGGUGGAGCGGUGAAAUGCGUUGAUAUCGUUAGGAACUCCGGUGGCGAAAGCGGCGUGCUGGAUCUCUUCUGACGCUGAGGCUCGAAAGCUAGGGGAGCAAACGGG